rnacentral:ncRNA from 1 species
UUUAAGAUUGAUUCUGUCUUAUAUUAAUUAGUUGUAAUUUAUUAUUAUAUACGAGAUUUUUCUGGGUGUAUUUUUUAUCUUAAAGGUAAUUUUAAUUAUUAUUUGUAGUUUUUAAUUUUAAAUAUUACAGUAAUGUAGAUUUAGAUAAUUUUAAUUAGGUCUGUUUUAAAUUGUGCCAGCAUACGCGGUUAUACAAUUAGUCCAAGUUAAUUUUUUUGGUUAUUCAUUAAAUUUUUAUUUUUAGUUUAUUUAAUUAUUUUUAGAGUGGAAUCUUGAAAUAAUUCUAUUAUUUUGGUUUAUUAUUAUGGGAAGUUUAGAUUUUAAACUAGGAUUAGAUACCCUAUUAUUCUAAAUGUAUUAUUUAUAGCCAUAUUAUUAUUAGUUAUGAUCUUUAAAUUAAAAGAAUUUGGCGGUAACUUAGUCUUUUCAGAGGAACCUGUUCUUUAAUCGAUAAUCCACGUGGUAUUUUACUUUAAUUUUAUUUGUAUAUCUCUGUCAUUGAAUGUUUUAUUAGAAUAUUUUCUUUAAUUAUAUAUUUAUUAUAUGUCAGGUCAAGGUGCAGUUAUAUUAAAGGUUGAAAUGGGUUACAUUUAAUGUUAUUUAUUGGGAUAAUUUUUAUGUAUUAUUAUUUAUCAAAAAGGAUUUGAAAGUAAUUUUUAUUAUUUUAUAAUAAUGAUUUUGGCUCUAAGUUAUGUACACAUCGCCCGUCACUCUCAUUAUUAAGGUGAGAUAAGUCGUAACAAAGUAAUUUUACCGGAAGGUGAAGUUGGUAUAAA